CUGCUGCCUCCCGUAGGAGUUUGGACCGUGUCUCAGUUCCAAUGUGGAGGACCUUCCUCUCAGAACCCCUACUGAUCGUCGCCCCGGUGGGCCGUUACCCCGCCGGCAAGCUAAUCAGACGCAUCCCCAUCCUUUACCGGCCGAAGCCUUUGGUCAUGAAAAUAUGCAUCAACAUGACAGCAUACGGUAUUAAUCCGCCUUUCGACGGGCUGUCCCAUAGUAAAGGGCAGGUUGGAUACGCGUUACUCACCCGUGCGCCGGUCG
rnacentral:rRNA from 1 species